UACGAAGGGGGCUAGCGUUGUUCGGAAUUACUGGGCGUAAAGCGCACGUAGGCGGAUAUUUAAGUCAGGGGUGAAAUCCCAGAGCUCAACUCUGGAACUGCCUUUGAUACUGGGUAUCUCGAGUAUGGAAGAGGUGAGUGGAAUUCCGGAGUGUAGAGGUGAAAUUCGUAGAUAUUCGGAGGAACACCAGUGGCGAAGGCGGCUCACUGGUCCAUUACUGACGCUGAGGUGCGAAAGCGUGGGGAGCAAACAGG
rnacentral:rRNA from 1 species